UCCCACAUGGUUCUAGUGGUUAAGAUUUGGCGCUUUCAACGCCAAGGCCCGGUUCAAUUCCCGGUGUGGGAA